CCUACGGGAGGCAGCAGUGGGGAAUAUUGGGCAAUGGAGGCAACUCUGACCCAGCAACGCCGCGUGAAUGAUGAAGGUCUUCGGAUUGUAAAGUUCUUUUCUAAGGGAAGAAGAAAGUGACGGUACCUUAGGAAUAAGCCUCGGCUAACUACGUGCCAGCAGCCGCGGUAAUACGUAGGAGGCAAGCGUUAUCCGGAAUGACUGGGCGUAAAGGGUGCGUAGGUGGUUUGACAAGUUAGUAGCGCAACUCCGGAGCUCAACUUCGGAACUACUACUAAAACUGUUGGACUUGAGUGCAGGAGGGGCAAUCGGAAUUCCUAGUGUAGCGGUGGAAUGCGUAGAUAUUAGGAGGAACACCAGUGGCGAAGGCGGAUUGCUGGACUGUAACUGACACUGAGGCACGAAAGCGUGGGGAGCAAACAGGAUUAGAUACCCGUGUAGUC
rnacentral:rRNA from 1 species